rnacentral:lncRNA from 1 species
UGGAGUGGAAGCUAAGCAAAUUCUAAACAAUCACUUAUAACUCUAUAGAAAACAAAGCUAGAGAUAUUACACAAUCAAGCAUGAAUGUAAGGCAUGAAAUACAAGAGAUAAGGUGUUGCCCAGUAGAUACAACCCAAGAGGGGGGGUGAAUUGGGUCUUUUAAAACUUUUAAGCUACUUCUAACACUUUUCAAUUAAUUAUGCUAAGUUGUAUAGUUGCACAGUGGAAUUUAAACUUAGCAAUAGGUUGAUUUAUCGAAUGAGACUUGAUUAAGUAAAUUGAAUAUGCUUACAACUAAAGGAUGCGCGGAUAAGAGUUAAGCAGGCAAUUUAUCUAGGUAAGUAAGUGAGCAAGAUAGACAAUGACAAGAAGCAUCACAAACACAACAAACAUAUAGUGGUUCGGUGCACCCCAGCACCUACAUCCACUCCCCAAGACCUCUUGGGAAUUUCACUAUAAUCCUACAGAUUACAGCCGGUUGUUUUCCAAGCUCACAACCAAACUUGUUGUUUUACGAGCUCACAACGAACUCGGUCGGUUUUCCCUGGCUCACCGACUAGAACCGCCCCGAUUGUUUUCCCGGGAUCACAAUCGAACCCUUACACACGUUGGUUUUACACUCGGCUCACCAACCAACCUCAAUACCCUUGAUUCAAUCCCCCGAUUGAACCAAGUAAAGACCAGGUGAAAAUAAAAGGUACAAACAGAAAACACAGCUUCUCAAA